ACAACAUGCAAGUCGAGCGGUAAGGCCCUUUCGGGGGUACACGAGCGGCGAACGGGUGAGUAACACGUGGGUGACCUGCCCUCCACUCUGGGAUAAGCCCGGGAAACUGGGUCUAAUACCGGAUAGGACACGUUGAUGCAUGUCUUCGUGUGGAAAGUUUUUUCGGUGGGGGAUGGGCCCGCGGCCUAUCAGCUUGUUGGUGGGGUGAUGGCCUACCAAGGCGGUGACGGGUAGCCGGCCUGAGAGGGCGACCGGCCACACUGGGACUGAGACACGGCCCAGACUCCUACGGGAGGCAGCAGUGGGGAAUAUUGCGCAAUGGGCGGAAGCCUGACGCAGCGACGCCGCGUGGGGGAUGACGGCCUUCGGGUUGUAAACCUCUUUCGCCAGGGACGAAGAGCAAUUGACGGUACCUGGAGAAGAAGCACCGGCCAACUACGUGCCAGCAGCCGCGGUAACACGUAGGGUGCGAGCGUUGUCCGGAAUUAUUGGGCGUAAAGAGCUCGUAGGCGGUGUGUCGCGUCGAUCGUGAAAACUUGGGGCUUAACUCUGAGCGUGCGGUCGAUACGGGCAUCACUUGAGUUCGGCAGGGGAGACUGGAAUUCCUGGUGUAGCGGUGAAAUGCGCAGAUAUCAGGAGGAACACCGGUGGCGAAGGCGGGUCUCUGGGCCGAUACUGACGCUGAGGAGCGAAAGCGUGGGGGAGCGAACAGGAUUAGAUACCCUGGUAGUCCACGCCGUAAACGUUGGGCGCUAGGUGUGGGGACCAUUCCACGGUUUCUGUGCCGCAGCUAACGCAUUAAGCGCCCCGCCUGGGGGAGUACGGCCGCAAGGCUAAACUCAAGGAAUUGACGGGGGCCCGCACAAGCGGCGGAGCAUGUGGAUUAAUUCGAUGCAACGCGAAAACCCUUACCUGGGUUUGACAUGCACAGGACCGCCGCAGAAUAUGUCUUU
rnacentral:rRNA from 1 species